AGGCAACUAGCUAGCAAAUUAUGAUUACAUUCAUGGUGUUAAUGUGUCCAGAUACCGACCUCCUGUUUUUCUGAUUCGCUGAGAAGAAGUGGUCAUUCCUUUCUUUGUUGAAGUGAGUCAAGUAACCCAGGAGAACAUU
rnacentral:snoRNA from 1 species